rnacentral:tRNA from 1 species
CAGGACAUAAUUUAAGAGAAUAUUGGCUUUGGGGGCCAGAAGUAGAGGUUUAACCCCUUUUGUCCUGA